rnacentral:tRNA from 1 species
GGGGUUGUGGCUUAGUGGUAGAGCGCUCACCUAGCAUGUGUGAGGCCCUGGGUUCGAUCCUCAGCAUCACAU